rnacentral:antisense_RNA from 1 species
UGGCGGCAACGUUCUUCGGUCAGGGUCAGGCAAACCAGACCGCGACCAUGAGUCACCAUGAAGUUGAUCGCUUCGGCAUUCACGAAUUCGGCGGCCAUGACC